rnacentral:rRNA from 1 species
AGAACGAACGCUGGCGGCAUGCCUAAUACAUGCAAGUCGAACGAACACUUCGGUGUUAGUGGCGCACGGGUGCGUAACGCGUGGGAAUCUGCCCUUGGGUUCGGAAUAACAGUUGGAAACGACUGCUAAUACCGGAUGAUAUCGAAAGAUCAAAGAUUUAUCGCCCAGGGAUGAGCCCGCGUAGGAUUAGCUAGUUGGUGAGGUAAAGGCUCACCAAGGCGACGAUCCUUAGCUGGUCUGAGAGGAUGAUCAGCCACACUGGGACUGAGACACGGCCCAGACUCCUACGGGAGCAGCAGUAGGGAAUAUUGGACAACGGGCGCAAGCCUGAUCCAGCAAUG